CGUGGAAAAAAGAAACUCUCCACCAAAGACAGAAGUGCAACACAAUUGCGCAUACGUUAGAGGACAUGUUAGUUAGUUAGGGCAGUUUGUUUGAAGUGUUCGAUUUAUUACUCUACAAAGCUUGGCGAAUCGAAGACAGCUGUGAUACACAGAUGAAAUAUCCACGUUAAGCAUCAUGUGUUCCUAACUUUAUAAAGUUGUCCCUUGGAUACAAUAUCAUAGCAAACAUAAAAAAAUAUUAUAUUUUUUUUUUCUUUAAGAAGAGAAAACUGGACCUCAUGUGCGACUUCGUUUUCUGGCAUCCCUGCAUAGCAGAAGAAAAAUUUCAAUAGAUUAUAUUUUUUCUAACCAGCAACAAAUGUGUUACACCACAUUGUAUAAUCGCACUAUUAGAAAAAUAUUUUUAAAGGGAUUGCAGGUUUGCUUCACUCCAGAGUUACGUGCUAUAGCCACUUCAAGCACUAACCAUGAGUCAUACAUGCGAAUUCUCGCUGAAUUUGACAUGAGACCUCAUGACUCAUGAGAAAAAUAAACAGCAGAGAAAGAAUACUCAUACAUACAUAUAUAGACGACAGAAGUGUAAACAAACAGCCGACCAGGCGAUAAUACAAACAAGCAACACGAAGGAUGCGUUAAAGGACGCACACUACAUAGCGUACAAACUGACAAAAAAAUAGUGCGCUUAAGCCUCGCGGCGUUCAGGUUAAGGCAAGCAGGUAAGAUUGACAGCGUAAGAAAUCGGCGCAGCCAAUGCGCGUACGCGCGAUUGAUGGAGGCAAGCGUGAAUUCCUUCACAGCUGUUGCGCCACGCACAACCAAGCAGCACAUGCAACACAGUAGAAGUGCUGGCGUAUGCUGAAGACGCGUAUAGGAAAAGAUCCGCACCAUCAAGGACCACAUACAACAGCAGUACUGGCUUAAAAUAACUGCGUAGUAAGCCAGUGGUGGCGCAGAAAGCUAGGCGCAUAUGCGAGGUGGAGUACAAAAAUUCAAAGCUAGGCAAAUGUGCGUGGAGGAAGAAUCAAGACGCAAAUAAGAAACACAACAACAUAUUACGAAUCACAGGACAUUCAAAAGUUUCCAUGUGCGUAAGUUUCGCUGACGUUAGCUGUGGUGGUUGUAAAUAUGUGCAGCAACGCAUAGCAAAAGAACCCUUACCGCGUAGACGCAGCAGUUGUGGUUGCGGCAAAGCUGUUGCUUUUGAGCCUUUGCUGUUGCUAUUAUUAUUGUUUUUAUGAUUAUGGCUACAUAUACCGCUUCAUUAUAGUAUAACUGUAUUUGUAUUAUCCUUUUGCACAAAUCAUAACGACCCAAAAGUAAGUGGUAUUUAUUCCAGUUGUUGUUUUAUUUCUCAAUAUAACAACAACAACAGUUGACGCGUACCACGCCGCUCAGCUGUUGCUGCUACUGGUGUUAUUUUUGCUUAGUUUUUUUUUCGUAUUCUUUAAGAAGCACCUCUUUGUCUUUGUUGAUUGUGUGAUGCAAAGGACGGCUGCUCUUUCAUGCCUGGCAUUUACAAUGUUGUUGUUGCAUGUGUGCGUUGACAUUGAACACCCGGCGCAGCUGGUAUAUUUAACACAAAAACAAUAUUUCGGUAAAGGCGAAAAAAGCAGAGGCAAACAAUCAACAAAGUGAAAUGAGCGCAGUGGCGGGCAAGGCAGUUAACAGAAAAGGAUGUGAGCGCUGCGUAAGGAAUAAAUAUUUUAAUUGACGUGCUGUCAUUGGAAGAAAAUUGUUUGCGAGAAAAGGCACAGCUUACACUAAAGAACGCACUUGCUGCACAAAGUUGGAAAUGAAAAAUGCAAAGCCUUAAAUAUUUUUUUUUCAUAUAGCUGCCAUACUAACUGAACGAUGCAAAUCAAGUGCUUGCAGCGAAAACUUUUUUAUGUGAUGAUCUAUCUUAUCUUAUACUAUUGUACAUGGCAACGCUACAAUCUCCGAAAAAAAUGUUGAGAUCGUGCCACUAUAACAUAUAGCUGCCAUACAAACUGAUCGAUCAAAAUCAAGUUAUAUACUUUUUUUGUGAAGUGUAUUAUAGCUACGGCUGCACCGUACCGUUAGCCUUUUUUAUUGCUAAUAUACAAAAUAGAUUGAGUUUUGCUGCUAUUACCAAAUAUCAAAAAGAUUUUGGCCAUAUAAAAUUAAUGCAUACCAUAUUUACAUAUCAACAAUAUUUAUGUGCGCUUUUUUAGUAACACAUAGCAAAAUCAAUGAUUUUGCUUUCUAAAAAGGCUUCAAUUGCAUUGCUAUAAAUAUUAUGAAAAUCGCUAUCGCUCAAAAAAAAAUUGCUUCACAUUUUUUUUAUUUUGUAUUUUUAAGCGCAUUUUUAAAACUCAGCAAGCUUACUUUUUUAAGCGCAUACUCGUAUGCAUAUUUUGUUGGUGUUUGAUCUUGCAUUUUUAAUAUUUUUAAAGACAAAAUUCGUAAUGUUUACAGCUUGGUUUUAACAGAAAAUCGCUACAUUAUUGGUGAAAGGAUGCAUAAAAAAAUUCAUUAUACACUAGGCAUGAACUUUGUAAUGUUAAUUAAGCUACCGUGUGAACACGCUGUAAGCGAGCAGCCAUAAAUCAAACACAUUACACGCGAUAAUAGUCGACUAUCGUUGACAAAGUAAUAACUAAUUUACUGCAUUUUGUUGAUUGAACGCAUAAAAUUAUUUAACACAUUCUGUUAUUAUUAUGUAGUUUAUUAAGCCAAUUUCUAAUUGAAUUAUUUAUGUGCAUAUGUAUAUUAAUCGAAUUCAUAUGAUUAUUGGCAUAUAUUACUAUAGUGUAGUGAUAGCUGUUAUAUACCACAUUGGCAGAGGCAGCGUCAACACGGCACUUUUGAACAAGCUAAGAGCAACAGCAACAACUACAUAUAUGAAAUUUUUUAGAAAAACGAAUGUACAUACAUAUGUAUAUGCAUUACUUUAUCACACUUUGUAAUUAAAAAAUUAAAAAAAGGGUGCAGUCACAUUUUUUAAAUAAAAAAUGGCGCUUAUUUGAGUUUCCAGCACUAAAAA